UACGUAGGGUGCGAGCGUUGUUCGGAAUUACUGGGCGUAAAGAGUGUGUAGGCGGUGCUCUAAGUUCGGUGUGAAAUCUCCUGCUUAACUGGGAGGGUGCGCCGGAAACUGGAGUGCUCGAGCGUGGGAGAGGAAAGCGGAAUUCCUGGUGUAGCGGUGAAAUGCGUAGAUAUCAGGAGGAACACCUGUGGUGUAGACGGCUUUUCUGGACCAUAGCUGACGCUGAGACACGAAAAGCGUGGGGUAGCAAAACAGG
rnacentral:rRNA from 1 species